UCAUUUGCAUGGAUGUACCAAAUCAUUUGCAACUUGUUCAAAGAAAUGAGAAACUGCUUUUUUGAUGUGCACAAGUGACACAAUGAUGUGAAAACUGAACAAGUACUUUUGAGAAUUUCAAUUCUGAUCUGAGACGUACCAAAGCGACUGAGACAAACUUUAGUGGUGUGUUUUUACCAGGCUUACCACAAAGUGACACUAGGGGGAGCCAGUUGGCUGGACUACGCUAAUCAGAUACUCCCAGCAUCCCUUGCUGUCUGGUUCGAGAUCGUCUUGCUGCUCGUGCUUCGGACACGUUUCCUGCUAUGCCAGCUUCUGUUCAAACUGAAUAUUUAAGAGUAGUUAACUUCGACCUUACUGUCCAUGACUGAGGGUACAGUUGUCGGAUUCAUCAGUCAGGUUUUGGUAAAGGGUGGAUUUCUGGACCUGUCCAGCAUCCAGCAGAGCAUCCGUUAAAGGAUUCAUCCGUCAGAGAACCGAGAUUCCAGUUAACUGGAUGGCGAGCCAACCUACAAGAACUUGAGAGACGGAGAGAAGGAAGAUUGUUCCUUCAAAGGAUUUACUGUCUUCACGGUGCGGUAUGACAGAUAAAAGAUACACACACAUCUGGACUGGGCCCCAACCAUCGGUCCAACGACUUAACACUAAAAGACUGGACUCAGACACAUUUGUUUGUUUAUGUCAUUGUGCGCACUUUAUUAUUUUGUCCUUAAUUGUACUGUCAUAUUUUUGUUGUUGUGCAGUUAACCUGCAGUAAAUGUGUUUAUUAUACACCUUUUGGCAAAUUUA